CCUUCGAUAGCUCAGUUGGUGAGAGCGGUGGACUGUAGAUCCAUAGGUCGCUGGUUCAAAUCCGGCUCGAAGGA